GUAGAAAUAUAAUAUUUGAUGUUGUAUUUCAUAAUAAAGAUUACAACCUAUUUAUAUAUAAAAGAUGGUAUCUAAACAGAAAAGAAAAUCAAGUCUAUAAUUAUACAAUCCCUAAGAUUAAGCAACUAACCCAUCUAUCAAUAUUUACUUCCUAUAUUAAUAUAUUUACUUCCUAUAAUCUAUAACACUCCCCCUCAAGUUGGAGCAUAAAUGUUAAUCAUGUCCAACUUGUUACAUAUAUAAUCAACUCGUCCCAUACAACUUAACAGACACCAAAUUUGUAAACCCAACUUCUUCCAAUAAUUGACGUACCCACAAAACUUCACAAACGGUUUUUGCCAUGACUCGACAUUUAGAUUCAGCACUAGAAUGGGAAACCACAUUUUCUCAGCUUGUUAAAACGCCUUACUGUGAAUAGAAUUUCGAAUCCGUGAACAGUACUCGUGACUCGUGAACAGUACUCGUGAACAAUACCCCCUAUGAACAGUACUCGUGACUCGUGAACAGUACUCGUGAACAAUACCCCCUAUGAACAGUACUCGUGAACAGUACCCCCGAUAAACAGUACUCGUGAACAAUACCCGAUGAAUAAUUCCCGUGAACAAUACUUGAUGAAUAAUUCCCGUGAACAAUACUUGAUGAAUAAUUCCCGUGAACAAUACUUGAUGAAUAAUUCUCGUGAACAAUACUUGAUGAACAGAGCCCUAAGUCUCCAAGUGUUACCCUUUAUGGAUAACCCAAAUGAAUAGAGCCCUAAGUCUCCAAGUGUUACCCUUUAUGGAUAACCCAAAUGAACAGAGCCCUAAGUUUCCAAGUGUUACCCUUUAUGGAUAACCCAAAUGAACAUAGACUUAAAUCUCCAAAUGUUACCCUUUAUGAGUAACCCAAAUGAAUAGAGCCCUAAGUCUCCAAAUGUUACCCUUUAUGAGUAACCCAAAUGAAUAGAGCCCUAUGUGAGUAACCCAAAUUAACAGAGCCCUAAAUCUCUAAAUGUUACCCUUUGUGAAUAACCCAAAUGAACAGAGGUCUAAGUCUCCAAAUGUUACUCUUUAUGAGUAACCCAAAUGAACAGAUCCAAAUGUUACUCUUUAUUAUGAGUAACCCAAAUGAACAGAGCGCUACGUCUCCAAAUGUUAUCCUUUAUGAGUAACCCAAAUGAACAGAGUUCUAAGUCUCCAAAUGUUACUCUUUAUGAGUAACCCAAAUGAAUAGAGCCCUAAGUCUCCAAAUGUUACUCUUUUAUGGGUAACCCAAAUAAACAGAGUCCUAAGUCUCCAAAAGUUACUCUUUAUGGGUAAUCCAAAUGAAUAAUAUCAAAAAGACGCCUUCACCCAACACCCGAACGGCAAACGAACCACAAAUUUGACAAGGGAGCUACAAGGCGAUUUUGGCAUCCUCUCUAGGUGAACGGUGAGAGACAAAUAUUAUCCUAGAUGGAUAACACAAAAGAACAGGAGUCCUGAGUCUCCAAAAAUUUAAAAUUUGACGAGAUAGAAAAUAAAUCUCUACAAACCUGGCUCUGAUACCAUGUAGAAAUAUAAUAUUUGAUGUUGUAUUUCAUAAUAAAGAUUACAACCUAUUUAUAUAUAAAAGAUGGUAUCUAAACAGGAAAGAAAAUCAAGUCUAUAAUUAUACAAUCCCUAAGAUUAAGCAACUAACCCAUCUAUCAAUAUUUACUUUCUAUAUUAAUAUAUUUACU
rnacentral:lncRNA from 1 species